UACGGAGGGUGCAAGCGUUAAUCGGAAUUACUGGGCGUAAAGCGUGCGCAGGCGGUUUGUUAAGUCCGUUGUGAAAGCCCCGAGCUCAACUUGGGAAUUGCAGUGGAUACUGGCAGGCUGGAGUACGGUAGAGGAAGGUGGAAUUACCGGUGUAGCGGUGAAAUGCGUAGAUAUCGGGAGGAACACCUGUGGCGAAAGCGGCUCAUUGGACCAUAACUGACGCUGAUGCACGAAAGCUGGGGGAGCAAACAGG
rnacentral:rRNA from 1 species